rnacentral:rRNA from 1 species
CUGCUAUCGGAUUGAUACUAAGCCAUGCGAGUCAUUGUAGCAAUACAAGGCAGACGGCUCAGUAACGCGUAGUCAACCUACCCUAUGGACGGGAAUAACCUCGGGAAACUGAGUAUAAUGCCCGAUAGAACAUUAUGCCUGGAAUGGUUUAUGUUCCAAAUGAUUUAUCGCCGUAGGAUGGGACUGCGGCCUAUCAGUUUGUUGGUGAGGUAAUGGCCACCAAGACUAUUACAGGUACGGGCUCUGAGAGGAGCAGCCCGGAGAUGGGUACUGAGACACGGACCCAGGCCCUAUGGGGCGCAGCAGGCGAGAAAACUUUGCAAUGUGCGAAAGCACGACAAGGUUAAUCCGAGUGGUUUCUGCUAAAGGAACCUUUUGUUAGUCCUAAAAACACUAACGAAUAAGGGGUGGGCAAGUUCUGGUGUCAGCCGCCGCGGUAAACCCAGCACCUCAAGUGGUCAGGAUGAUUAUUGGGCCUAAAGCAUCCGUAGCCUGCUCUGUAAGUUUUCGGUUAAAUCUGUAUGCUCAACAUACAGGCCGCCGGGAAUACUGCAGGGCUAGGGAGUGGGAGAGGUAGACGGUACUCGGGAGGAAGUGGUAAAAUGCUUUGAUCUCUCGAUGACCACCUGUGGCGAAGGCGGUCUACCAGAACACGUCCGACGGUGAGGGAUGAAAGCUGGGGGAGCAAACCGGAUUAGAUACCCGGGUAGUCCCAGCUGUAAACGAUGCAGACUCGAUGAUGCAUUGGCAUAAUAGCCAGUGCAGUGUCGCAGGGAAGCCGUUAAGUCUGCCGCCUGGGAAGUACGUACGCAAGUAUGAAACUUAAAGGAAUUGGCGGGGGAGCACCACAAGGGGUGAAGCCUGCGGUUCAAU